ACCCCCUGUUGAUAAGUCUUAAUAUAUAACUGGCAUGUAAACUUUUUAUACUUGUUUUUGUUAGUCAGACAUUCAAUUUUAACAUACAUGUAUCUGAGCUUCAUCAUAAAUUCUUUUCUAGUUAAGCAUGUUACCGCAUCACACAGUAAUACUGAAUUUGGCUAAAAGCUGACUGAAGAUUUGAAGAUCUGGAACAAAUCUAAGAACAAGACUAAUACCACUACCAGUUCUAAAAAGGAUGCAAAUAUGAAUAAAUUUUUCAACAACCCAUCGUUAAAGAAGACUCCGGCCAAAUAUCUAAGUCAUGACAGUAGACAAAGGAGCUUCAACAAAACUGUAGCCUUAUGGGUGGGGCGAUCCAUUGUUCCAGCAAGUGUCGUUGACUGCCCUCUCUGCAAAGAAGUAAUCCAUCAAGCGAAUGCUCAUUUGGAAAUACCAUCAAGAAGAUCAGUAAUGAGAGCAGUUUAGAGUGAAGAAACCAAGAUGAAGACUGAAAUCUACAAGCUGACUCAACGUGCUAGGAAAAUCAACAUAACCUCUGACAUUUGGUCACAGAAAGGCUGCACAAAUUCUUAUUUGGGAGUUACAGCCCACUUCUUCGACCCUGAAAGGAAAGAGUUAAUCUACCUAACCCUAGCAGUACGUGAUUUUCGUAACCCACAUACAGGAGAACGCAUUGCUGAGGAAUUGUCAAACAUCUUGAAUGAGUUCGGUGUCUCAGAUAAUGGCAGUAAUAUUGUAAAAGCCGCAAGAAUGCUAAAGGCAAAAGGGGAUAAAGUGCCAUUGAAGAAGAUCUUCCCUCUGCAAUUCACAAAUCGAAAGCCAUUGAUUGUUUUUUUGACGAGGAAGAUCUUGAGGAUGAGGAAGACGAGGAUGAACUACAGAUGGUGAAUCUGGAAGAUAUUGACGAGUAUGAUUCAAGAACAGAGACUAUUCAGAAGAACUUUCAGACAAUGCUCAACAACCGAAUCUGGUGUUUCCGGUAGAAUUUUUAUGCUGCAGUUAAGCAUUUCUAAAUAAGGUUGUUAAACUAAGUAAAACUGUAGCGUUUUACUGUAGCAAGAUUGGAAGUUAAGUUAGGUUAUUAAGAAACCGAAAUUAAUGGAUAGCUGGAAGUGCUUUUAAACUUUUUUUCAUCAACUGAAACUGUUGCAGAGGAUGUUGUUCA